GUUGUUAUUAGCUGAGAGUUUUGGUUAUGUAUCUUGAGACAAAGCUUGUGACUCACACCAAAUGUACAGUAUGGGAGUGGGCAACCCUACAGAGGCCAGUGUUUGUUGGUGAGUGAAGACAUUUGGUAACACAGUGAAGUAUCAGGAGCUGAAACCUGUCCAUAUUCUCAAGAAUGCAUAGGAGUUGCAAAACAGGUAUCUUUUGACAACUGCUUCUAUGUUUCACUGAUGAAUAGAUGUUUCUGAGUAUGUACUUAAAAAUAUUCAGGUCGGUAAAAAUAAUAUUCUUAAGAAAAACAUAAUUUGACACAAAAGGAGGUAUUUAUGAAUAAUUCCAUUUUAAAUGGUUUAAACAAAUCUAAAGUAAUUCAUGCUUUUUUUGCAGUAUAUUCACUGAAAUUAGGCACUGGGAGAACAAGUGAUCCUCUUCUUCGUCUUCACUGACUGUUUUGAUUGAAGUGUGCAUUUUGAACGCGGGUGAAGUGAUUCAGUACAAUAAACUGCAGGCCGACCCAAAGCAGGGGAAAUCCCUGGAUAUUGGUAAAAACUAUAAACUGUACAGCAAUAUUCAUUUAAUGUGUUUGAAUGGAUGCAGAAAUGUGUUCUUCUCUCAUCAAACAGAUUAUACGUGUGUGUUUGUGUGUGUCAGUGCUGAAGGUAAAGCAUUGUCUGGUGGAGAACAUGAGUUCAGGAACUGCAGAUGCUCAGCCAUUCUGUAAAAUGGUCAGAUAAUUUCCAUUGUUUAAUUUCCUUUUAAAUCUAGACACAACCAGGUUGUAUAUGCAAGGUGUCGUAUAGGCCAUACUCACUCUUGGGCAUUUAUUGAAGGGUGAAGAAGCACAAAAAUGUCAAUACUGUAGCACCAACUUGUAUAUAAAAAUAUGUUUUUGGCCUGUCCAAUUUUUAAUGUUAUGAGACAACUGUUUUUAUCAGGUCAAACUUUUAAGGACUUUAUGAACCCAAAAGAUCUAGAAUUUUUGUUGUUGUUUUAAAUCACAAAUACAUUUUAAGAAGAAUAUAUAAUUGUACCUAAUCUGUUUAAGUUUAAUUUUAUAAAAUGUUUUCAUUACAUUGUAUUUAUUGUUGAAUAUUUAAUAUACCAUGUAAUAGCUGGUGAAGCUGAAGUAGCAAUACAUUUAAACAAAACCAACCAUUAUUUAAUCAGUAUUUCAUUAAAAUACUAUUUUUGCACAAAUUAAAAACAGGACAACAAAGGACUAAAGUACCAGACUCAUAAAUACAGUAUAAAUAAUAAUCAUUAUUUCACAUUAGUCUGUUUGAAAACUCCAUCAUUGAGAGCAUUGA
ensembl:lncRNA